rnacentral:rRNA from 1 species
AUACGUAGGGUGCAAGCGUUAAUCGGAAUUACUGGGCGUAAAGCGUGCGCAGGCGGUUUUGUAAGACAGUGGUGAAAUCCCCGGGCUCAACCUGGGAACUGCCAUUGUGACUGCAAGGCUGGAGUGCGGCAGAGGGGGAUGGAAUUCCGCGUGUAGCAGUGAAAUGCGUAGAUAUGCGGAGGAACACCGAUGGCGAAGGCAAUCCCCUGGGCCUGCACUGACGCUCAUGCACGAAAGCGUGGGGAGCAAACAGGAUUAGAUACCCUGGUAGUCCACGCCCUAAACGAUGUCAACUGGUUGUUGGGGAUUUAUUUUCUCAGUAACGAAGCUAACGCGUGAAGUUGACCGCCUGGGUAGUACGGCCGCAAGGUUAAAACUCAAAGGAAUUGACGGGG